AAACCUAAUUUUUAUAAUAUUCUUGUAUCACAGAAAAUAGGAAACUUUCCAAAGGAAAACAACAACAACAACAACAACAACAACAACAACAGACACCCAGUGAGUCUUAAGUGCCUCUGAGAAGGUAGAGUUGAAGAGGGAGCAAACAAAAUUAAGAGAUCAACCCUGCAAUCCAGAAACUCAGCUGAUGGCCAGUGUUACAUAGAGCCAAGAUUUAAGUGCCACUUUGCUGCUCUUCCAGUAAACAAGACAGAUAACCAACUCAUGAGUUGCUCCAUUUUGCAUUUCUACCAGCAAUGUGACUACUCUCCCCUACCUUCAUCAACACAAGCCAUGCAGCCACCGCAGCAGGUGAUGCCUGGAUUCUGCUGCAUCCAGGCUGCAGAUGCCUGAUACCUGACACCCUCGGAACUGACGUCUGCACUGAGAGCACAUCUCCCAACUGCAGAGCCCAGGUGAUGGUGCUGCUGCCAGCAGAAGUGCUGAUGGGCCAAGCUCCUACAAAGCUUUCUUGGUCUUCUGGAGCCUUCAGUGUGUUGAAGCCACACCAAAGCAGAAGGCGCUUUCUCAUUAGUGGAAUAGUAUGUUAAUUGGACACCAAAGCUAUGCCAUAAAAUCAUCAACACUGUAUAAUUGUUGCUAUUGAAAUGCUUAUGGUUCAUUAUUAAACAUGCUCUUAUUAAAAAUUUGACCAUUUAUUCCACAACACCUAGGUCAUCACUCCACCUGCCUCUGCAUCCCGAUGUGCUGGGAUUACAGGCAUGAGCCACCACGCCCAGCCUUACUAUCUGGCUUUUUACAAAAAAGGUGUACCAACCCUUUAUUUUUAUUUUUAUUAAUAAUUUUUUGUACUCAGCAAAAAUACUACUGAUUUACCGUUUAUUAUAAAGGGUAUAAUUCAGGAACAGCCAAAUGGAAGAGAGAUAAAGGGUAAAGAAAUGUGUUGAGGGAAGAUGGGAUGCGUAAGUAAUCCUCCAACUCUUGAUUUAGAUUUUCAAAUGAAAAAUAGAUUAAGUUCCACUCCAGAACAUAAAUUUAAAGAAGAUGAAUAAUCCUAUGGUGGAUUUUAAAGAGGAGUCAGAGUAUUGCAUUUGAGGUAUAGAUCACAAGUGAAAUCUUGAAGAAUGAAUGGACUUUUCUCGGAGGGAUCAAUACAAUUGUUCUUUCAGGGACAAGCAAAUAUGGGAAGUAUAUGACUCUUGAGAUAUAUAGUUGAUCUGUCUCAUAGCAUGCAUUUAAAAUUUUGAAAGGUACUAACACAUUGCUCUCCAAAGAGAUUUUUAUUAGUUCAUAUUCUCACUAUAGUAUAUGAAAGUGCCUGUGGGCUGUCAUCAAUAUGAAAAAAUUUCCAAGCCUGAAGAGCAACAAAUAACAUAUCCUUAUUGUUUUAAGUUGCAUUUAAAAAAUUACUAGUGAAAUAAUACCAAACAGUCUCUCAGACCACAGUGCAAUCAAAUUAGAACUCAGGAUUAAGAAACUCACUCAAAACCACACAAUUACAUGGAAAUUGAACAACCUGAUCCUGAAUGACUCCUGGGUUAAUAAUGAAAUUAAGGCAAAAAUCAAGUUUUUUGAAACCAAUGAGAACAAAGAGACAACCUACCAGAAUCUCUGGGACACAGCUAAAGCAGUGUUAAGAGGGAAUUUUAUGGUACUAAAUACCCACAUGAGAAAGCUAGAAAGAUCUCAAGUUGACACCCUAACAUCACAAUUAGAAGAGCUACAGAGGCAAGAGCAAAUUAAUCCAAAAUCUGGCAGAAGACAAGAGAUAACUAAGAUCAGAGCGGAAUUGAAGGAGAUAGAGAUACAAAAACCCUGCAAAAAAUCAAUGAAUCCAGAAGCCGGUUUUUUGAAAAAAUUAACAAAAUAGAUAUAUUGCUAGCUAGACUAAUGAAGAAGAAAAUAGAGAAGAAUCAAAUAGACACAAUAAAAAAUGACAAAGGGGAUAACACCACUGACUCCACAGAAAUACAAACUACCAUCAGAGAAUAAUAUAAACACCUCUAUGCAAACAAGCUAGAAAAUCUAUAAGAAAUGGAUAAAUUCCUGGACACAUACACCCUUCCAAGGCUAAACCAGGAAGAAGUCGAAUCCCUGAAUAGACCAAUAACAAGUUCUGAAAUUGAGGCAGCAAUUAAUAGUCUACCAAUAAAAAACAAGCCCAGGACCAGAUAGAUUCACAGCCAAAUUCUACCAGAGGUACAAAGAGGAGCUGGUCCCAUUCCUUCUGAAACUAUGCCAAACAAUUGAAAAGGAGGGACCCCUCCCUAAUGCAUUUUCCGAAGCCAGCAUCGACCUAAUACCAAAACCUGGCAAUGACACAAAAA